UGGACAGAUUAUUGUAUUCGACUGUAUUCACGGCGUGAAACAGGGGAUUACACUGUUUUUAAACGGAAAGUGAAUCAUUUAACAUAAUAGACUCCU
rfam:Nicotiana attenuata strain TT chromosome 7, whole genome shotgun sequence.